CCUACGGGUGGCAGCAGUGGGGAAUAUUGCACAAUGGGGGGAACUCUGAUGCAGCGACGCCGCGUGAGUGAAGAAGUAUUUCGGUAUGUAAAGCUCUAUCAGCAGGAACGAGACAAGACGGUACCUGACUCAGAAGCCCCGGCUAACUACGUGCCAGCAGCCGCGGUAAUACGUAGGGGGCAAGCGUUAUCCGGAAUCACUGGGUGUAAAGGGAGCGUAGACGGCUGAGCAAGCCUGAAGUGAAAGGCGGGGGCCCAACCCCCGGACUGCUUUGGGAACUGUACGGCUGGAGUGCAGGAGAGGUAAGUGGAAUUCCUAGUGUAGCGGUGAAAUGCGUAGAUAUUAGGAGGAACACCAGUGGCGAAGGCGGCUUACUGGACUGUAACUGACGUUGAGGCUCGAAAGCGUGGGGAGCAAACAGGAUUAGAUACCCGUGUAGUC
rnacentral:rRNA from 1 species